UCAACAAUGCCUUUAUAUAAGUCGGUACGUAUCUCCGGCUGGUGCUCUCUGAACCAAUUUAAUCUGCAACCCUCGAUCUUUAUGUACAUGUCGACCGCCCAUUGCUGGAAUAGGCGCCUUAUCCACUAGGAUUAACUCUAAAGCAAAUUCGGGACAUACUCAGGAUGGACCAGCCAAUUGACAAGGAUUGUUUCAACAUGGCUGUGCGCAUAGUGGCAUGUGAUGAGAUACAAUUUUUGAUAGAGCCUCCCGUGCAUAACAUGGACUUAAGAUUUUGUGUAAGUUAUUAUAAUCGCAUAUUUGUUGUCACUGUUAUGGUUCUAAACCUUUUUUUUCAUCUCAGUCGGUGAUACUCGAUGGUAGAAAACAUCCACUUUGGCGUGUUAAGCCAGAUAUUAAGGAGUUGGCAACAUUUUUUCAUAGCUGGCCUAGGAUAGACCAUAAUAUAUCAUCAUGCAACAUGAUUUUUUUGCCACACGCAUUUCUUGGCAACUUCAUCUUGUUCACCAUCGACAAACAUGAGUGUCGUGUAUGUAUUUUAGACCCAUGUUCCGAACCUCUAUCAGAAGAGAGGUACCAACUAAAAUUACAAAGGUGCUCAUUCUAUCUGAAUGACGCUCUUGAGAUAGCGCAACCUGGCUGGAAUUCCGAUAUUUAUUUCUAGCCACGUAAAUAUCCUCACAAUAUCCCAAUACCAACAAGCCCCGACAGAAAAUUGUCUGGAUACUUAGUAUUUAGUUUUAUGCUUUCAUGGGAUGGUAAAAGAUUUGUUCAUCCAGUUUGCAGCGAUGGUUACGAGCUAAGAAAAAGGUUUCUGAUACACAUACUCAAGUAUCAGGCUAAUGAAGUUGAAGACAACAUUCCUGAGAUCGUGCGAGAAUACCUUAGACGCGUCAACGGACCAUGGCUUUAAUAAAUAGUGUAUUCAAUUAUUUCUCUUCUACAAAAUG